GGAUGCAUCUCUCCUUCAAUGGGUUCCUUUGACAUCAGAUUGUCCCUAGAAGUUAUUUUCUGCAAAUACUACUACAUAAUAAGUGUAGAAAAAACAGAAACUUCAAAGAAAACGUACAGUCUCUGGGGAUGGUGAAAUGGAGAUGGUGAUGAUGAAGGUUGAUGGUGGGUAAUUAUAUUGUAGAAUUGUCGAAGAGGUAGAUUCAACAAAAGAGAGGUAACUUCUGAGAGAGAGACAGCUUCUGGAAGAGGCAAUUCUGGCAGAGGUAUAACUUCCGAGAGAGAGGGGGGGGUUAAAAAGGAGUGUUGUCCUCUGAGCAGAGCUUGGGAAAGUUACUUUUUUAAACUACAACUCCCCUCAACCCCAGCCAGCAUGACCACUAGACUGGGCUGAUGGAAGUUGUAGUUCAAAAAAGUAACUUUUCCAAGCUCUGCCUCUGAGGCUACUAGGCCUGCUGCUAGCUUCACUGAUGACUGAAACAACAGAGGCAGGUUUUGGUGGGAAAAACUAACUAACCAAUUAAAGAAAGGGGUGAUGUCAUCUGACAGGAAGUUACUAUAAAGCUAAGGGAUCAUAAAGACAGACCACUGGAGUUCCAUAACAAUAACCUAAUAAAUGCCUUCUUUAGCACAAUGGAAGGAGUCUCCCUGGGGAGGCAGCACAACUACUAUUAAGUAUCUUAAAUAUAGCUACAGAUUUCUGAACAUUAAUUGCAGAUGUACAAAAUAAUGGAGAUUUCGUUUGCAACUUGUGUAACUAGACUAAUUCCACAGUGCAAAAACCUGAUAGAAUUCACAAUAGCAAGGUGAUUAGCUAUUAGAAUAGGAAGUGAUAAUGAGCAAUGGUCCAGUACUAAGCACAAAGUGACAAACUGGCUAAUGAAUUUGAAUGACAUGAUGAAUAGCAAGCUGCUCAGCCUAUUGAGCAUUAGCUAAUAUAAUGCAAAAUCACACACAAACGAAUCAUUCUUCAAAUCCUACCACUGUGAAAAUUAGGUAUCCAGUUUUUGAAUGACAGUGCAAUCUUACAUUUCAGAAGUAAGACCCAUUGAGUUUGCUGGGAAAAGAAAGAAAUUAGUUAAUUCUGCUCUGAGCUUUAAAACUUACAAGGCCUUUUCAAGACAAAUUCUAACAAAUCUCGUCACAGUAGAAGGAUGCUGACACCUGAAGAAAUGGACCUAAUUUGCAGAUACAUUUGUGAGGUGAUUGAUUAAGGAGUUUGUUUCCUGAAACAGAAAAGCAUAUUAACCUGCAGGUAUUUUAGCCACAUCUCCAGUUAAUUGUCUUGGGUUGGGCACAUGACCUUAUACUGAAUUCCAAACUCUACAGAGCUGCAUUUAUGGCUCUCAUUUAUAUAAACUUUAAUCCUGAUAUGAAAAUGGAGGUGAAUCAAAACAAAGUAAAUUAUCAGGACACUCUUCAUUAUUAAUAACUUAGUGCAGCCUUCACGUGACCCAUUGAAGAAGUGAACAAAUCUUGAACUGUAAUGAAUUGAUUUUAUGCUCUCUGCCUUUGGUAAAUGUACACAACACAAGAUUGUAUGCUUCUUACAUAAGGCUUAUAUAUGCAUAUAUAUAAGGCACAUAAUUUUCACACUGGCAACACAGCUUUAAGAUUUUGAUGGGGUUGUACACCCUCUGAAAGACCAAGUUCAUAGUCUGGGGGUGCUCCUUGAUCCAUCUUUGUUGCUAGAAGUCCAGGUGAU